CACAACCCCCAGCCUCUCUCCACUCUCCUUUACCCUUUCCCAAAUCCACCACCGCGGUCCCCUCAUCCCCUCGCCCAAAUCCACCGCCGCUUCAUCAUUUCGAGGCGCGCUGCCAGAGGUUCGUCGGAGAUUGGGAAGGCAUUAUAGAAGUGGGAGGAGAGAACCCAACCCAAUCGGCGACCCAUGAUAGAGGGGCCUGAGCUCCGCGUGCGGUGACCACCAAGCGGAGGCAGAAGGCUGGCGUCCGGGGCCGCCGCUUCUCUGCCACCGCGUCCACGAAGCGAGGGUUUGAAUGGGAGGGACACCGCGCGUCUGUGCAGCUCGACUCCUAGCGGCGAAGUGUGAGAGCCAGAAGUGCCAUCUUCAGCGGUCGAGGAAUCGGGCCUCAAAUCACGGGGGGUGUGGGAGCAUGCUGAUUUCAGAGGGGCCGAGGUCAAACUAUGGCUGGCCGCCGGAGGCUGUCGCGCUCGUGCAGCUCAUAUUCUCUGCUAGCUUGGCGGGCCCCUUGUCUUCAAAAGGAAUGCUGGGUUUCUCGUAGUAACUGGCACAGUGGCAUGGUUAGUUAGAGGAUCCUCUUUUUUUCUUGAAUAAUCUGGGAAUCUGAGCAUCUCGGUAUUAGAAAGAGCUUACAGGAUAAUUUAUGGGGGAAAGGGGAUAAAAUCACAGCAAUGUCUCGGGCCUCACUAAAUUCUAAAGUCAAAGCAACAUUUUUGAGGUUUUGUGCACACGCCCAAGCAAGAAGGUUCAACACCCACUUUCAAAUGCUCAUGCCGGAAGAAACAAGGGGGAAAUACUGGAAAAAUAGUUGCAAUCAGGAUGAACAAGGCUUUUGUAAAAGAGAAGGCGUCUGAGAGGGCACAUCAAGAUAGAAGCUCACCCCUCAGGUCCAUGGCCACCAAAACGGGGGCAACAAUUGUGACAAUGGAAGAGAGGACAGAUGGAGAAGGAGAGGUCAAGGGGGAGGUUUGGGGGUCUGCGACUGGAAAGGGGAAGGAGGAUUUGGUGCGUCGGCGUGAGGCUACUGCUAAUGUCAGUAGGGGGAGCUGAAGUUACGAUUGUGAUAGACUCGCCCCUGGGGGCCAUGUGCGUGAGGGGGCCAUUUCUUUCCUUUUUGGGUUUGCCAGCUGGAUCUGGGAGAGGUCCACUACCAAUAUUAGGGUGUGUGCUCUGGACCGCUAGCCAGCCAACGGUUACUGGCUAGUCGCGUCCAUAAAAAAAUAUGCGUUUUCUUGAACCGUGGAAAAUAUUCAUAUCUCAUUCAGUUCGUCU